GUUUUUAUAAUUUAAUUUAAAAUAUUGAUUUUGUAAAUCAAAAAUAAGAUAACUUUAAAAACU
rnacentral:tRNA from 1 species